GACGAACGCUGGCGGCGUGCUUAACACAUGCAAGUCGAACGGAAAGGCCCUGCUUUUGUGGGGUGCUCGAGUGGCGAACGGGUGAGUAACACGUGAGUAACCUGCCCUUGACUUUGGGAUAACUUCAGGAAACUGGGGCUAAUACCGGAUAGGAGCUCCUGCUGCAUGGUGGGGGUUGGAAAGUUUCGGCGGUUGGGGAUGGACUCGCGGCUUAUCAGCUUGUUGGUGGGGUAGUGGCUUACCAAGGCUUUGACGGGUAGCCGGCCUGAGAGGGUGACCGGCCACAUUGGGACUGAGAUACGGCCCAGACUCCGACGGGAGGCAGCAGUGGGGAAUAUUGCACAAUGGGCGGAAGCCGGAUGCAGCAACGCCGCGUGCGGGAUGACGGCCUUCGGGUUGUAAACCGCUUUCGCCUGUGACGAAGCGUGAGUGACGGUAAUGGGUAAAGAAGCACCGGCUAACUACGU
rnacentral:rRNA from 1 species